rnacentral:tRNA from 1 species
CCAUUGGUGGUUCAGUGGUAGAAUUCUCACCUGCCACGUGGGAGGCCCAGGUUCAUUUCCUCGCCAGUGCA